rnacentral:lncRNA from 1 species
GAAAUUGCAUUUUCACCCCUAAACUUUCCUAAAAUUACAUUUUGGCCCAUCAACUUCUUGAAAAUAUAUUUUGACCCCUGAAUUUUCACAAAAUUAUGCUUGGCCCCAAAAGUUUUGCUACAUUUGCGAUUUGGUCCCUCUGGCAGACAGGCGCGAUUUGCGCACCUGCCCUCCGUGAUUUUCGGCCGUUGGCCUAGUGCAUGGCCUCCCCUCUCCGCUGCCACCUGAAAACAAAGAGAAAGAAGACAAAAAUCAAGAGAUUAAAAAGAAAAUGAAAAGAGAGAGGGAGGGGGAUAGCAAUCAAAAAAAAAAAUCAAAGCCAAAAGAAAAUAAGCAAAGAAAUUCCAAAAAAAAAAGCUCUCAAUCCGGCCGAUUGCCUCCACCGCCACCACGUCCGUCGCGCCACCACCAUUGUCAUCUCACCGUCGAGUCCUAAACGCAAAAAACAAAAACAAAGAAAAAGCAAGCAAAAGAGAAAAAGAGAAAGAGCAAAGAAGAAAAAGAAAAAGGAAAAGGGGGGAGAGCAUACCUCCGUGCGCGCCACCGUCGGCCGUCGCACCAGGCGGAGAGACAUCACCGGCGACACAAAGGGGCUGCUGCUGAACGGAGAAGGAAGAAAAAAGAAAGAAGAAAGAAAGAAAGAAAAAAGAAAGAAGAAAAAGAAAGAAAAAAAGAGAAAAAAAAAGGAAAGAAAAGAAAUAAAAAAAAUAAAUUACCAGUCGGGUCAAACCGAACCGACCCGAUCCAGCAAAACGACCGACCCGACCCGACCCACGGUACCCAGCAGCAGCAACAGGCCCGUUCCCAGUGGCCCAAAACAAUAACCAGCAAAAAAAAAAAGAAGCAGCAGAUUUGUUUUAAAAAAAGCAGCAGCCCAACAGAAGCAGGCCUCCAGCAGACCCAUUGCGCAGGCCCAACGCAGGCCCAGCAGCAGCAAGCCUCCAGGCUCGGCAGCAGCAGGCCGAGCAGGCCCCCUUCGGCCCAGCGCCCAGGCCCGAAUCCGGCAGCCCAACAUCCAGC